rnacentral:pre_miRNA from 1 species
AAAAAAACAAACCGUAUGUUACUGUGCCAACAUUUCACUGUCCGUCUUAUAUGAAUCUUUUUUAUAAUUAAUAUUUUUAUUGUUGUUAGAUGAUUACAUAUGAUUAAUAUUUUAUGCGUGAUUUAUCUUUUUAAAUUUUUCAUAAUUUUUUUAAAUAAGACGGACGGUCAACGUAAACUAAGGUUUGUCUUUUUU